rnacentral:rRNA from 1 species
ACUUGAUUAGUUUGUUGGUGGGGUAAUGGCCUACCAAGACUGUGAUCAAUAGCUGAUUUGAGAGGAUGAUCAGCCACAUUGGGACUGAGACACGGCCCAAACUCCUACGGGAGGCAGCAGUGGGGAAUCUUGCACAAUGGAGGAAACUCUGAUGCAGCGAUGCCGCGUGAGUGAAGAAGGCCCUUGGGUUGUAAAGCUCUUUCGUCGGGGAAGAAAAUGACUGUACCCGAAUAAGAAGGUCCGGCUAACUUCGUGCCAGCAGCCGCGGUAAUACGAAGGGACCUAGCGUAGUUCGGAAUUACUGGGCUUAAAGAGUUCGUAGGUGGUUGAAAAAGUUAGUGGUGAAAUCCCAGAGCUUAACUCUGGAACUGCCAUUAAAACUUUUCAGCUAGAGUAUGAUAGAGGAAAGCAGAAUUUCUAGUGUAGAGGUGAAAUUCGUAGAUAUUAGAAAGAAUACCAAUUGCGAAGGCAGCUUUCUGGAUCAUUACUGACACUGAGGAACGAAAGCAUGGGUAGCGAAGAGGAUUAGAUACCCUCGUAGUCCAUGCCGUAAACGAUGUGUGUUAGACGUUGGAAAUUUAUUUUCAGUGUCGCAGGGAAACCGAUAAACACACCGCCUGGGGAGUACGACCGCAAGGUUAAAACUCAAAUGAAUUGACGGGGACCCGCACAAGUAGUGGAGCAUGUGGUUUAAUUCGAAGAUACGCGCAGAACCUUACCAACACUUGACAUGUUCGUCGCGACUCUAAGAGAUUAGAGUUUUCGGUUCGGCCGGACGAAACACAGGUGCUGCAUGGCUGUCGUCAGCUCGUGUCGUGAGAUGUUGGGUUAAGUCCCGCAACGAGCGC